rnacentral:rRNA from 1 species
GACAGAGGGUGCAAACGUUGCUCGGAAUUACUGGGCGUAAAGCGCGUGUAGGCAGAUCGGAAAGUCGGGCGUGAAAGCCCCAGGCUCAACCUGGGAACUGCACCCGAAACUCCCGGUCUUGAGUGGUGGAGAGGGAAGUGGAAUUCCUGGUGUAGAGGUGAAAUUCGUAGAUAUCAGGAGGAACACCAGUGGCGAAGGCGGCUUCCUGGACACCAACUGACGCUGAGACGCGAAAGCGUGGGGAGCAAACAGG